AUGGAAAGUACUUUGAAAAGAGAGUGAAAAGAACUUGAAACCGUCACGGGGGAAGCGAAUUGCGUGAGUGGUGGUGCCGCUUGUUCAGCGCCUUAGGCGUGUAUUCUGGCGGUACCUUGUCGUCGUGGCUGGCUGGCGUGUGAAUUUGACACGCCGGCUGGUGAGGGCUCCCUUUUUGGUGAGGACGACGACAAAAUGACGCAAUACGACCCGUCUUGAAACACGGACCAAGGAGUCUAGCACGGCUGCGAGUCGAAGGGUGUAAAACCCAAGGGCGCAGUGAAAGCGAAAUUAUAAGCAAGUUGGGGAGGCGUUGCGUUUUUAACAAAAUGUCCUACCUUGAGCACUUGUGCUGGGACCCGAAAGAUGGUGAACUAUGCCGGAGUAGGGCAAAGCCAGAGGAAACUCUGGUGGAGGCUCGUAGCGAUGCUGACGUGCAAAUCGCUCGUCGAACUUGGGUAUAGGGGCGAAAGACUAAUCGAACCAUCUAGUAGCUGGUUCCCUCCGAAGUUUCUCUCAGGAUAGCGGGCCGACAUAUGUUGUUUUGUGC
rnacentral:rRNA from 1 species